GGUGAUCCAGCUGUAAUCUACUCAGGAGUGAGAAAUGACGACAUCAAUUAUGAACAAAUCGUCAUCACAGACAAGCAAGAAAAAUCAAAGACGAGAGAGUGCAAUCCAGCUACAAUCUACUCAGAAGUGAGAGCAGGCGGCGUCUGCCAUGGACCGAAAACCACCAGAUCAAAGAGGCCCAAAGAGCCAGACACCAUCUACUCUUCACUGAAGUAGUCCACCAGUCCAACCACUGACGUCCAGCUGCUGGUCUCUAACUGGUCCUCCCAGCACCUCAGACCAGAG